rnacentral:rRNA from 1 species
GUCCAGACUCCUACGGGAGGCAGCAGUGGGGAAUAUUGCACAAUGGGGGAAACCCUGAUGCAGCGACGCCGCGUGAGUGAAGAAGUAUUUCGGUAUGUAAAGCUCUAUCAGCAGGGAAGAAAAUGACGGUACCUGAUUAAGAAGCCCCGGCUAACUACGUGCCAGCAGCCGCGGUAAUACGUAGGUGGCAAGCGUUGUCCGGAUUUACUGGGUGUAAAGGGCGUGCAGCCGGAGAGACAAGUCAGAUGUGAAAUCCACAGGCUCAACCUGUGAACUGCAUUUGAAACUGUUUCCCUUGAGUAUCGGAGAGGUCAUCGGAAUUCCUAGUGUAGCGGUGAAAUGCGUAGAUAUUAGGAAGAACACCAGUGGCGAAGGCGGCUUACUGGACUGUAACUGACGUUGAGGCUCGAAAGCGUGGGGAGCAAACAGGAUUAGAUACCCCAGUAA